rnacentral:rRNA from 1 species
CACAUAGGGCGCAAGCGUUGUCCGGAAUUAUUGGGCGUAAAGAGCUCGUAGGCGGUCUGUUGCGUCCGCUGUGAAAACCCGGGGCUUAACCCCUGGCUUGCAGUGGAUAUGGACAGACUAGAGGUAGGUAGGGGAGAAUGGAAUUCCCGGUGUAGCGGUGAAAUGCGCAGAUAUCGGGAGGAACACCGGUGGCGAAGGCGGUUCUCUGGGCCUUACCUGACGCUGAGGAGCGAAAGCGUGGGGAGCGAACAGG